GAAGGUAUAGCUCAGUGGUAGAGUGCCUGCUUAGCAUGCACGAGGUCCUGGGUUCAAUCCCCAGUACCUCA
rnacentral:tRNA from 1 species